GACGAACGCUGGCGGCGUGCUUAACACAUGCAAGUCGAACGAUGAAGCUAGAGCUUGCUCUGGUGGAUUAGUGGCGAACGGGUGAGUAACACGUGAGUAACCUGCCCCGAACUCUGGGAUAACUGCUGGAAACGGUAGCUAAUACUGGAUACGACCAACGAAGGCAUCUUCUGUUGGUGGAAAGAAUUUCGGUUCGGGAUGGACUCGCGGCCUAUCAGCUUGUUGGUGAGGUAACGGCUCACCAAGGCGACGACGGGUAGCCGGCCUGAGAGGGUGACCGGCCACACUGGGACUGAGACACGGCCCAGACUCCUACGGGAGGCAGCAGUGGGGAAUAUUGCACAAUGGGCGAAAGCCUGAUGCAGCGACGCCGCGUGAGGGAUGACGGCCUUCGGGUUGUAAACCUCUUUCAGUAGGGAAGAAGCGAAAGUGACGGUACCUGCAGAAGAAGCACCGGCUAACUACGUGCCAGCCGCCGCCGUAA
rnacentral:rRNA from 1 species